GACGGAGGGUGCAAGCGUUGUUCGGAUUGACUGGGCGUAAAGGGCGUGUAGGCGGUUUGUCAAGUCGGGUGUGAAAGCCUGGGGCUCAGCCCCAGAAGUGCAUCCGAAACUAGCGAGCUAGAGCGCGAUAGAGGAGGGUGGAAUUCCUGGUGUAGCGGUGAAAGGCGUAGAUAUCAGGAGGAACACCGGUGGCGAAGGCGGCCCUCUGGUUGGAUACUGACGCUAAAACGCGAAAGCGUGGGGAGCAAACAGG
rnacentral:rRNA from 1 species